AACGAACGCUGGCGGCAUGCCUAACACAUGCAAGUCGAACGAAGCCUUCGGGCUUAGUGGCGCACGGGUGCGUAACACGUGGGAAUCUGCCCUUCGGUUCGGAAUAACAGUUAGAAAUGACUGCUAAUACCGGAUGAUGACGUAAGUCCAAAGAUUUAUCGCCGAAGGAUGAGCCCGCGUAGGAUUAGGGUAGUUGGUAGGGUAAUGGCCUACCAAGCCGACGAUCCUUAGCUGGUCUGAGAGGAUGAUCAGCCACACUGGGACUGAGACACGGCCCAGACUCCUACGGGAGGCAGCAGUGGGGAAUAUUGGACAAUGGGCGAAAGCCUGAUCCAGCAAUGCCGCGUGAGUGAUGAAGGCCUUAGGGUUAUAAAGCUCUUUUACCAGGGACGAUAAUGACAGUACCUGGAGAAUAAGCUCCGGCUAACUCCGUGCCAG
rnacentral:rRNA from 1 species